rnacentral:misc_RNA from 1 species
AAGUCGUAACAAGGUUUCCGUAGGUGAACCUGCGGAAGGAUCAUUAACAACAUAACCUAGAACGUAAAAAACUUUCCCUUAAUAGCUUACAGAACCCUUCUUUCCCAGCUCACAAAUUACCCCAUCACGCAACAUUUGGCUCACCUAACGGUUUGAGCCCUCCAACCCCAAUAUACGACUGUUAACAAUGGAUAUCUCGGAUCUCGUAACGAUGAAGAACGCAGUCUGU